UACGUAGGGUGCGAGCGUUUAAUCGGAAUUACUGGGCGUAAAGCGUGCGCAGGCGGUUUUGUAAGCCAGAUGUGAAAUCCCCGGGCUUAACCUGGGAAUGGCAUUUGGGACUGCAAGGCUUGAGUGCGGCAGAGGAGACUGGAAUUCCUGGUGUAGCAGUGAAAUGCGUAGAUAUCAGGAAGAACACCCGUGGCUAAGGCGGCUCUCUAGUACGGUACUGACGCUGAGACGCGAAAGCGUGGGGAGCGAACAGG
rnacentral:rRNA from 1 species